AGCUCAUGGUGAAGGCAUUCUCUUUGAAUCUUUCCCAUACUUCGUAUAGGGACUCAUCAUCCAUCUGCUAAAAAGUGGUGAUCUCAUUCCGCAACUU
rfam:Gossypium raimondii chromosome 3, whole genome shotgun sequence.